rnacentral:lncRNA from 1 species
UGGAGUCACAAUAGAAUACUUUUAUCUUUUGUCUCUAAAUGUGCAAGGACCUUUUUCUCAGGUUCCACGUGCCUUGUUCUUAAGGAGUGACUCACUAUGGCCUAAAAAGCAAUGGAAAUCUUCCCAACUGGGGAAAAGUGUGUGGAAGUGGAUCAAAGGCCCAGGUGAGCCUCUGUGACUGAAAUCUUCUGCAAUGAGGGACUGGAGGAGACCUCCGUUCAAGGCACACAGCAAGUGAUUCUCAGGGAGUUUCCCCUUAUCCCGGCUCCAUUGGGACCAGCCACAACUUCCUUGGAGUAUGGUUCAUGGCACAGGUGGUACUAACACCUCUGGAAGUCACAAUACAUCUGUCCAAACUGAUGAGUGGAUGUAUCUAUGGACUCGGAGCUCUGAAGCACUACAGGAGAAGUGGAAAGGACUGUAUCAAAUACUACUGACAACAGAAGCUGCUACCAAGGUGUUAGGAGUAGACUCUUGAAUUCAUUACACAAGAAUAAAAAGCACCUAGCCCACA